GGAAAAUGUGAGGUUGGCGUCACUUAGGGGAGGGAAUGAGUUAUAAGAAAAGAACAACUUGAUAGGGGAAAGCAGUGCAGGAAGCCUCAGCCCUCGGCCCUCAGCCCUCGGAAAGGGCGUCUGAAGAGUGCGGGAACGUCAAGAAUGAUGGGGAUUUCCGGGCAGAAUGCAGAGCAGAAGAGCCACAUGGAGCAUCAAAAAAUGAGAGGAGAGUGACCCAAAGGCCAACAAGCCAAGAGGUGACCGUCAGAGGCCCUGCAGGCCAGACCAGCACCUCGGGGCAGCGCUCUGCCAGCACACCUCGAGGCAGGAGGAGUCUCACAUUAUCUCAAAGGCUGUCGAGAAGCGCUAUUAUAACUCGCACCUAUAGAAGAGUUCAGUGUCAGACUUCUUUGUUGUCCUAUCAGUAUCAGGUUAAAAGACAGUUGGUCACUUUGCUGAUGAUGUUCAUCAUGGCCACUCUGCCCACACGCUGCUCUGAGGAAAUUUGCCCUAAAGAGCCACGUUCUGGAGCACGUGCUCCAUCUGCAUUCCUCACAUGAUUGGACAAGGGGUGGUCACUUCAUCUAAGGGUGACCCACUUAUUGGUGACCCACCAAUGGUGAUCAGUGAUUGGGGUAGCCUGGCUCAAAAAUAUGAGCUAGGGUAAAUAAAUCCUUUCAGGGGAAUCUUGAAUUGAAAAUGGAAAGGCUGAGUCGAUUGGCAGUGUACACUGAAGUUGGAAAUGG
rnacentral:lncRNA from 1 species